rnacentral:rRNA from 1 species
UACGAAGGGUGCUAGCGUUGUUCGGAAUUACUGGGCGUAAAGAGCAUGUAGGCGGAUGGAUUAGUCAGAGGUGAAAGCCCCGAGCUCAACUCGGGAACUGCCUUUGAUACUGUUCAUCUUGAGUCCGAGAGAGGUUAGUGGAAUUCCAAGUGUAGAGGUGAAAUUCGUAGAUAUUUGGAAGAACACCAGUGGCGAAGGCGGCUAACUGGCUCGGUACUGACGCUGAGAUGCGAAAGCGUGGGGAGCAAACAGG